CCCGAUGCGAAAUAAAAAAAGCAGGUCAACCCCGGCCACCCCUCCUCCCACAUCUCCCCCGUACCCACCCACCUUCUUCGUCUCCACCCCACCACACACCACCGCACCAACCUCCCCCUUCCCCCACCACCGCACCACCUCCCUCCCUUCCCCCACCCCACCAACCGGCGCCAAUAUCCCCUCCCGUGACCUUCCUCCCCUCGCCGACAAGCCCCCUCCCCCGGCCAGCUCCCAUCACGAGCCGGCGCCGGAUCCAGGCCGCGGCGACCCCCGCCCCACAACGCACCGGCGUCGGAUCCAGGAAGCGAAGGCCUGCCACCGGAGCUAGGCCGCGCCCCCGGCCUCCACAUCCAGCCGACGCAGUUCGGGUCGACAGCCACACUGUUGUGCCGGAUCUGCUCGCCGGUCCUCCUUUGCGUUUGAGCUUACUGUCCGCCGCAUGUUGGGUCGAGCCUUCAGCGACCAAUUGCUCACAGGAGAAUCCCCCACCUCCUCUUCCUCGUGGCAUCGGUGAGAUCCGCCGCCCCACGCCCCAUCCCGCACCACCCCUCGCCAGAUCUGCAUCGGGACCUCACCUCGCCCGCACCCUCACUUGCCGGAACUGCUAAGCAGUUCAGUGGGGUCUGUCGUGCGGUUCGGUGGGUCAUGCCGUGCAGUGUGGUGUGGCUGCAGCUCUUGCGUGCGGUUAGGUCGUGCGUGUGAGUGUAGUGCAGUGCGCCGCACAGGUGGGCAGAGGGAGGAGGGGAGUGUACUGCACGGGCACCCGGCCCUCCAUUCCACCUUCCCUCCUCUUUCGAUGGAGCAGCACGGCCGGGGCGACCCCUUUGGGCUACAGUCCAUUACGGCUUCCAUGCAGUCCCAGUGUGGCGUGCAUACAGUCACCUCCCCCUGGCAUUCCUCAACCCUUGCCGAGCGGCAUCUACACCACCGUUGGAGAUGAGGUUCACCAUACAUUGAUGUGAAGUUAACUCACUUCGUCCCAAUUGUUGGCGAAACCGUGCACUAACUCAUGCCUUCUCUCUAGGAUGAGCAACGCUAUGGUGUCGCUGGAGCAGUCCACACAGCAGGCGCGCACAGCCAUCGUCGACCCGUCAUGCAGUGCACUUCUUUACAAUGGGUGUGAGCAAAGUCGGGAUUAGUUAGUAGCGCGCGCGGCCGGCCAACAUCGACUCACGGGCGAUUUUUGCAGCUCACUUUUUUGUUUUUUCAGUUCGUUGCGUGAGAAAAUGGUGUAUGUUUAGUUUAUAUAUUGAAGGACAUGUGUGCUGAUUGCAAAAGUAGUACACUUCGGCAAAAGAAACUGCAAUCUGCAUAGGAGGGCCACCACCCCCGAGCCGCCUAUGCAAAAUUCAUGAUAAAAUUGUGGUAUCCCUGACUGUGUUCGCGUGGUGCGGAGGGUGUGUGCAUGCAAUUCAGUCUUUUUCAUGUUUGUUUUGUCUGUA